rnacentral:rRNA from 1 species
AUUGAACGCUGGCGGCAGGCCUAACACAUGCAAGUCGAGCGGAUGAAGGGAGCUUGCUCCUGGAUUCAGCGGCGGACGGGUGAGUAAUGCCUAGGAAUCUGCCUGGUAGUGGGGGAUAACGUCCGGAAACGGGCGCUAAUACCGCAUACGUCCUGUGGGAGAAAGUGGGGGAUUUUCGGACCUCACGCUAUCAGAUGAGCCUAGGUCGGAUUAGCUAGUUGGUGGGGUAAAGGCCUACCAAGGCGACGAUCCGUAACUGGUCUGAGAGGAUGAUCAGUCACACUGGAACUGAGACACGGUCCAGACUCCUACGGGAGGCAGCAGUGGGGAAUAUUGGACAAUGGGCGAAAGCCUGAUCCAGCCAUGCCGCGUGUGUGAAGAAGGUCUUCGGAUUGUAAAGCACUUUAAGUUGGGAGGAAGGGCAGUAAGUUAAUACCUUGCUGUUUUGACGUUACCAACAGAAUAAGCACCGGCUAACUUCGUG